CGUAAGGCGCCGAAUGAGUCAUUAAAAAUUAACAUCAUCCGAUCCCUAGUCGGCAUAGUUUAUGGUUAAGACUACGACGGUAUCUGAUCGUCUUCGAUCCCCUAACUUUCGUUCUUGAUUAAUGAAAACAUCCUUGGCAAAUGCUUUCGCAGUAGUUAGUCUUCAAUAAAUCCAAGAAUUUCACCUCUGACAAUUGAAUACUAAUGCCCCCAACUAUCCCUAUUAAUCAUUACAUCGAUCCUAGAAACCAACAAAAUAGAAUCUGAUGUCCUAUUUCAUUAUUCCAUGCUAAUGUAUUCAAGCGUAAGCCUGCUUUAAACACUCUAAUUUUUCAAGGUAACAGUCCUAAUUCCCCAUAA
rnacentral:misc_RNA from 1 species